CCCUUAGAUGUUCUGGGCUGCACGCGCGCUACACUGUCGGAUUCAGCGAGUCAUAUCCUUAACCGAAAGGUUUGGGUAAUCUUUUGAAAGUCCGACGUGAUGGGGAUUGAUCAUUGCAAUUAUUGAUCAUGAACGAGGAAUUCCUAGUAAGCGUGAGUCAUCAGCUCGCGUUGAUUACGUCCCUGCCCUUUGUACACACCGCCCGUCGCUACUACCGAUUGAAUGGUUUAGUGAGAUCUUCGGAUUGGCGCCUACGCGGCUUCUCUGAGGCCACGCUGGAUGCCGAAAAGUUGCUCAAACUGUAUCAUUUAGAGGAAGUAAAAGUCGUAACA
rnacentral:rRNA from 1 species